AGCAGUCGCGGUUAUACAAAGGGAGCGAGCGUUAGUUAUAAUGGCUUAAAGGGUCCGUAGAUGAUUAUAAUAUAUAUAUAAUUAGAGUUAAUAAAUUUAAUUAUAGAAUUAUAACAGGAGUGAUAAAAUAUAAUGAUAGUUAUAAGACUUGUAAAUGCGAAAGUUAUAAUUAAAUAUUAACUGACAUUGAGGGACGUAAGCUAGAGUAUCAAAAUGGAUUAGAUACCCAUGUAGUUCUAGCUGUAAACUAUGAACACUAUUUUAUUAUUUAAUAUAAUAAUAAUAAUAAAAGUUAAAAUUAAAAGUGUUCCGCCUGGAGAGUACGUUGGCAACAAUGAAACUCAAGACAAUAGACGGUUACAGACCUCAGCAGUGGAGCAU
rnacentral:rRNA from 1 species